UUACAUUCUAAACAAACUUUACUAUGAAAAUGCAGGGUUUUGAGACGUACGCACAACGCAUGCGCACUGUGGCUACAACAGGACCGACUUUCUGUGUCCAGACGUCUGAGGAUCACAGAGCAACAUGUAGCACUUAAGUCAUUUCACAGAUCAAAGAGGAAUUCAGGAGAACAACAACCAUUCCAGUGGAUCAAACCAGGCAAAAACUUGACAAAUAGACACGAAAGCUGAUGAAAGCCAGGGGAGGAGUUUUGGGGCCCAAGACGAGUUUGCUCCUGGACCGACUGAGUCAGAAACAGAGCAUUGAGGUGAGAAGAGAAGCCAUUAUCUCCAGCCUUAUACUGUACCAUGGGAAGAAGGAAUAUGACUUUUUGAGGGCUGCUUGUUUACGAUGGCUAAAGCGAUGGCAGUGGUCAGAGGCCACUCUUCAAUAAACAACUGAAAAGAGAAAGAAGUUUGGUUAUUGGAGCGUCGUUGUCUGGCUGUCUAGCCGGCUGAAAAGUUGGGAAAACUCAGGGCGAGGACAGCACAGUGAUGUCAGUAACUCUGUUUUCAAAAUCUGACAGCUAUGAGAUUGUCCCAGGAUGCAAGAGUACAGCGAAAGCUUGUCCACUGCUUAUGGGACUGAUUUAUGCCCUGAACUGUGCAUACCCUCCUAUUUUGUGCUACACUUUUAAAGUCCUCUAAGAACUCUUGCUGGAGAUGGAUCAAUUUAAACUCUACACAAAAGAAAACACCCUGAAGUGAAAGUUACUGUCAUGAUUCUGUCUUCCUAGAGGAGGAAAAUAUUUCUGUAAUGAAUGUUUUAACUCUGACAGUGUUGUAAACUUUUCACUACAUAUUUCAAAAACACUGUUCCAGUUUGAAUGUAAAAUUUAUCACUGCCCCAUAAAGAAAUUUAGAAAUUGAAUUCACACUACUAUUGGAGUUACUUAUUUGUGAAGCCGUUUCUUUAAUGCAUAGAGUAUUGCUUCAUUUUAUUUGUAAACAUUUAUCCAGAGACAACUGGCAUCAAAUAUAUUGUUUUAGUGCGUAGUUUAACAUAAUGCAAAAAGUCAAAAAUGUUUACUUUAAUUUCAUGUCAUAAUUACAUGAAUUGCCUUUAAACCUUAAUGGCACAUUACUUAAUUAUGUACAAAAACUGGAAAUAUGUUAUAUUCUAUUGUAAACUUUAAGCUAUUGCCUUAUGUACUGGUAACUAGUUUUUACAUUUCAUUCCACUUUAAUAAAACUUUGUCUUAAAUAAUGCUGUGAAGUUAUUGAAAUGUCAGCCUAUGGUUCAGCUUGAAUAAGUUUGAGAUAUUUAAAAAACAUUUUUGCCUUUCUAAAUAACUUUAACCUGGGCAUUUUUUUUUUACCUGUAUGGGAGGUCUUUGAACUCCAGAAAUAAUGACUUCUCUGCAACUGUCAGGAGAGAGAACUAUACUGUCAUUUAGUAAAAUAAUAAAUUUUGUUUUGCCAUUAAAUUUGGUAAUUGUUAGUGCACCAUCUCAACGACUGUUUGAUCAUGAGCUAUUCUAAUGUUA